GAUGAACGCUGGCGGCGUGCCUAAUACAUGCAAGUCGAGCGAACAGACGAGGAGCUUGCUCCUCUGACGUUAGCGGCGGACGGGUGAGUAACACGUGGAUAACCUACCUAUAAGACUGGGAUAACUUCGGGAAACCGGAGCUAAUACCGGAUAAUAUAUUGAACCGCAUGGUUCAAUAGUGAAAUACGGUUUUGCUGUCACUUAUAGAUGGAUCCGCGCCGCAUUAGCUAGUUGGUAAGGUAACGGCUUACCAAGGCAACGAUGCGUAGCCGACCUGAGAGGGUGAUCGGCCACACUGGAACUGAGACACGGUCCAGACUCCUACGGGAGGCAGCAGUAGGGAAUCUUCCGCAAUGGGCGAAAGCCUGACGGAGCAACGCCGCGUGAGUGAUGAAGGUCUUCGGAUCGUAAAACUCUGUUAUUAGGGAAGAACAAAUGUGUAAGUAAAUAUGCACGUCUUGACGGUACCUAAUCAGAAAGCCACGGCUAAUUACGUG
rnacentral:rRNA from 1 species